GACGAACGCUUGCGGCGUGCUUAACACAUGCAAGUCGAACGGAAAGGCCCUGCUUUUGUGGGGUGCUCGAGUGGCGAACGGGUGAGUAACACGUGAGUAACCUGCCCUUGACUCUGGGAUAACUUCAGGAAACUGGGGCUAAUACCGGAUAGGAGCUCCUGCUGCAUGGUGGGGGUUGGAAAGUUUCGGCGGUUGGGGAUGGACUCGCGGCUUAUCAGCUUGUUGGUGGGGUAGUGGCUUACCAAGGCUUUGACGGGUAGCCGGCCUGAGAGGGUGACCGGCCACAUUGGGACUGAGAUACGGCCCAGACUCCUACGGGAGGCAGCAGUGGGGAAUAUUGCACAAUGGGCGGAAGCCUGAUGCAGCAACGCCGCGUGCGGGAUGACGGCCUUCGGGUUGUAAACCGCUUUCGCCUGUGACGAAGCGUGAGUGACGGUAAUGGGUAAAGAAGCACCGGCUAACUACGUGCCAGCAGCCGCGGUGAUACGUAGGGUGCGAGCGUUGUCCGGAUUUAUUGGGCGUAAAGGGCUCGUAGGUGGUUGAUCGCGUCGGAAGUGUAAUCUUGGGGCUUAACCCUGAGCGUGCUUUCGAUACGGGUUGACUUGAGGAAGGUAGGGGAGAAUGGAAUUCCUGGUGGAGCGGUGGAAUGCGCAGAUAUCAGGAGGAACACCAGUGGCGAAGGCGGUUCUCUGGGCCUUUCCUGACGCUGAGGAGCGAAAGCGUGGGGAGCGAACAGGCUUAGAUACCCUGGUAGUCCACGCUGUAAACGGUGGGUACUAGGUGUGGGGUCCAUUCCACGGGUUCCGUGCCGUAGCUAACGCUUUAAGUACCCCGCCUGGGGAGUACGGCCGCAAGGCUAAAACUCAAAGGAAUUGACGGGGCCCCGCACAAGCGGCGGAGCAUGCGGAUUAAUUCGAUGCAACGCGUAGAACCUUACCUGGGUUUGACAUGGAUCGGGAGUGCUCAGAGAUGGGUGUGCCUCUUUUGGGGUCGGUUCACAGGUGGUGCAUGGCUGUCGUCAGCUCGUGUCGUGAGAUGUUGGGUUAAGUCCCGCAACGAGCGCAACCCUUGUUCACUGUUGCCAGCACGUUAUGGUGGGGACUCAGUGGAGACCGCCGGGGUCAACUCGGAGGAAGGUGGGGAUGACGUCAAGUCAUCAUGCCCCUUAUGUCCAGGGCUUCACGCAUGCUACAAUGGCUGGUACAGAGAGUGGCGAGCCUGUGAGGGUGAGCGAAUCUCGGAAAGUCGGUCUCAGUUCGGAUUGGGGUCUGCAACUCGACCUCAUGAAGUCGGAGUCGCUAGUAAUCGCAGAUCAGCAACGCUGCGGUGAAUACGUUCCCGGGGCU
rnacentral:rRNA from 1 species